rnacentral:misc_RNA from 1 species
GAUGAAGAACGUAGCGAAAUGCGAUACUUGGUGUGAAUUGCAGAGUCCCGUGAACCAUCGAGUCUUUGAACGCAAGUUGCGCCCGAAGCCAUUAGGCCGAGGGCACGCCUGCCUGGGCGUCACACGUCGUUGCCCCCCCAUCUACUCCUUCGGGAUUGCGGGGGGCGGAUGAUGGCCUCCCGUGCGCCUCGUCGCGCGGUUGGCAUAAAUACCAAGUCCUCGGCGACGCACGCCACGACAAUCGGUGGUUGCGAAACCUCGGUUGCCCGUCGUGUGCGGUCGUCGCGCAUCGAGGGCUCGAAAAAAUUGCCGGGCUCCGGCUCGGCUUUCAACGCGACCCCAGGUCAGGCGGGGUUACCCGCUGAAUUUAAGCAUAUCAAUAAGCGGAGGA